CAAAGUGUACUCACAUCUGUCAUUUCGUGUCAUUCUUACAUAAAUCCUGUAGCUGGGCACAGUAGGAAGAAGCAUUCUCAUCAUGGCCACUUAGCUUGCUCGAGAUUACACAGAACCAUGCCUCUGGUUUCCUGGUACAGUGCUCCGGCAGGUGACGGAUGCUCCUGGGUGACAUAUCACGGAUCUCUCUGAGGUAAGACGUGCCUUUUGCCUUCCACCUUCUGCCGUGAUUGUGAGGACCCGCCAGCCACGUGGAACGGCAAGAUGGCUGACUAGGAACAGCUCCGGUCUGCAGCUCCCAGCGAGACCAACACAGAAGGCAGGCCGUCAUCCUUAAGCCAUAAAAUGCCCUGUAGAGGUGGAACAGGUCAGAAGACUGAAUGCUCAAGCUGCAUGUGGAGUUAACAUGGCAAUAACACAGAAUGUGAUGACAGCAGACUCUAGAAUCUCAUGACAUCAGUUUAUAUUAGAACUGUUCUGUAGCUCACCUUUCUCCGAAGUUGGAAUUCACAUGGCUGUGGAAUGU
rnacentral:lncRNA from 10 species